GCUUAGGUAGUUGGUAGUGCGUCUGCCUUGUAAGCGCUAGGCCGCGGGUUCGAUUCCCGCCCGGGGCG
rnacentral:tRNA from 1 species